UACAGAGGGUGCAAGCGUUGUUCGGAAUUACUGGGCGUAAAGAGUGUGUAGGCGGUGCUCUAAGUUCGGUGUGAAAUCUCCCGGCUUAACUGGGAGGGUGCGCCGGAAACUGGAGUGCUUGAGCGCGGGAGAGGAAAGCGGAAUUCCUGGUGUAGCGGUGAAAUGCGUAGAUAUCAGGAGGAACACCUGUGGUGUAGACGGCUUUCUGGACCGUAGCUGACGCUGAGACACGAAAGCGUGGGUAGCAAACAGG
rnacentral:rRNA from 1 species